GCGCCCGUAGCUCAACUGGAUAGAGCGCGUGGCUACGGACCACGAGGUUGUGGGUUCAAACCCUGUCGGGCGCG
rnacentral:tRNA from 1 species